rnacentral:rRNA from 1 species
CCUUAACCUGGCCUUGACAUACUAAGAACUUUCCAGAGAUGGAUUGGUGCCUUCGGGAACUUAGAUACAGGUGCUGCAUGGCUGUCGUCAGCUCGUGUCGUGAGAUGUUGGGUUAAGUCCCGCAACGAGCGACAACCCUUUUCCUUAUUGCCAGCGGGUUAAGCCGGGAACUUUAAGGAUACUGCCAGUGACAAACUGGAGGAAGGCGGGGACGACGUCAAGUCAUCAUGGCCCUUACGGCCAGGGCUACACACGUGCUACAAUGGUCGGUACAAAGGGUUGCUACCUCGCGAGAGGAUGCUAAUCUCAAAAAGCCGAUCGUAGUCCGGAUCGCAGUCUGCAACUCGACUGCGUGAAGUCGGAAUCGCUAGUAAUCGCGGAUCAGAAUGCCGCGGUGAAUACGUUCCCGGGCCUUGUACACACCGCCCGUCACACCAUGGGAGUUUGUUGCACCAGAAGUAGGUAGUCUAACCGCAAGGAGGACGCUUACCACGGUGUGGCCGAUGACUGGGGUGAAGUCGUAACAAGGUAGGCGUAGAUGA